CCCUUAGAUGUUCUGGGCCGCACGCGCGCUACACUGAUGCAUUCAUCGAGUUUACAACCUUGAUCGAUAGGUCUGGGUAAUCUUUUAAAUGUGCAUCGUGCUAGGGAUAGAUUAUUGCAAUUAUUAAUCUUGAACGAGGAAUUCCUAGUAAACGCAAGUCAUCAGCUUGCAUUGAUUACGUCCCUGCCCUUUGUACACACCGCCCGUCGCUCCUACCGAUUGAAUGGUCCGGUGAAGCGUUCGGACCGUGGCCUUUGGACGGUUCGCCGUCUGUUGGCUGCGGGAAGUUCGUUAAACCUUAUCAUUUAGAGGAAGGAGAANUCGUANCA
rnacentral:rRNA from 1 species